UCCUACGGGAGGCAGCAGUGAGGAAUAUUGGUCAAUGGCCGGAAGGCUGAACCAGCCAAGUCGCGUGAGGGAAUAAGGCCCUAUGGGUCGUAAACCUCUUUUGUCAGGGAGCAAAGGCGUCCACGUGUGGACGAGAGGAGAGUACCUGAAGAAAAAGCAUCGGCUAACUCCGUGCCAGCAGCCGCGGUAAUACGGAGGAUGCGAGCGUUAUCCGGAUUUAUUGGGUUUAAAGGGUGCGUAGGCGGAUUUUUAAGUCAGCGGUAAAAUGUCCGGGCUCAACCCGGGCCGGCCGUUGAAACUGGGGG
rnacentral:rRNA from 1 species